AAAAAAUCGGCCCAUACCCGGCCCAGUUGAAGAAGGCCCUCUCCUCUCUUCCUCUUUAUUUCUCACGCCUCUCUAUCUCUAUCACUCUACCGACAUUCACUCUUCUCUCUCUCACAAUAUCGGUUCUCUCCCUCAAAAUCAAGAAACGGACACUGUUCAUCGUCUCUCUCUCUCGCUCGAUCCAGCCGCCUCUUCUCCCUCCAAGAUCUGCCGCCGCCGCCUGCUCUAACCUCGGCGAGAAUCGCCGGCUCCGACGCCUCCCUCACUCAUCGCCUCCUCCUUCUCACCUCAACCUCUAUCUCUCUCGCUCUCUCGGCCGCUGGACCCAGGCGCAGCAGACACCACCACCGCGGUGUGCCGCCAUCGCCGGGCCGCCGCCUGCUCCCUCAUCCUCGCGGCAGAUCCGCCGCCGCCGUUCAACGCCACGGCCGCCUGGAGCUGCUGCUGUUCGCCUGGGGUCGACGGAUCUGGCCUUCGGUCGUUCGUCUUGCUCGGAGUUCCCGCCGCCGUUGGCUUGCCCGGAGUCGCCGCUGGCUGGCCCGCGAUCGACGGCCAGCAGCUCGCUGGAGGAGCGCCGCCGUCAGCCGCUGCCGUUGGCAGCAAGAAUCCGGCAGCCGCCUCUCCUGGAGUCGCCGUCGCCGUGAGUCGCAGAGCUCCGACAAUCCACCAUCCUUUCUCUCUCGUUUUAUCACUCACGAUAGGUUCGUAAAUUUGAAUAAUUUACAGAAAAUUC
rnacentral:lncRNA from 1 species